rnacentral:rRNA from 1 species
UAUGGCGACCGGCGCACGGGUGAGUAACACGUAUCCAACCUGCCGAUGACUCGGGGAUAGCCUUUCGAAAGAAAGAUUAAUACCCGAUGGCAUAGUUCUUCCGCAUGGUAGAACUAUUAAAGAAUUUCGGUCAUCGAUGGGGAUGCGUUCCAUUAGUUUGUUGGCGGGGUAACGGCCCACCAAGACUACGAUGGAUAGGGGUUCUGAGAGGAAGGUCCCCCACAUUGGAACUGAGACACGGUCCAA